CCUACGGGUGGCAGCAGUGAGGAAUAUUGGUCAAUGGACGAGAGUCUGAACCAGCCAAGUAGCGUGAAGGAUGACUGCCCUAUGGGUUGUAAACUUCUUUUAUAAAGGAAUAAAACGAGGCACGUGUGCCUUUUUGCAUGUACUUUAUGAAUAAGGAUCGGCUAACUCCGUGCCAGCAGCCGCGGUAAUACGGAGGAUCCGAGCGUUAUCCGGAUUUAUUGGGUUUAAAGGGAGCGUAGAUGGGUUGUUAAGUCAGUUGUGAAAGGUUGCGGCUCAACCGUAAAAUUGCAAUUGAUACUGGCAGUCUUGAGUACAGUUGAGGUAGGCGGAAUUCGUGGUGUAGCGGUGAAAUGCUUAGAUAUGACGAAGAACCCCGAUUGCGAAGGCAGCUUACUAAACUGUGACUGACAUUGAUGCUCGAAAGUGUGGGUAUCAAACAGGAUUAGAUACCCUGGUAGUC
rnacentral:rRNA from 1 species